GCGGCGGUGGCAGACCAGGAAUGCGCAGGCCUCCAAAACCUGAAGAUGUGGGGGCAGCACCCACCCGCCGUGCCA
rnacentral:tRNA from 1 species